GUCUAUGGCCAUGCCACCCUGAAUGCGCCCAAGCUCAUCUGAUCUCAGAAGCUAAGCAGGGUCAGGCCUGGUUAGUACUUGGAUGGGAGACCACCUAGGAACACCGGGAGCUGUAGGCA
rnacentral:rRNA from 1 species